rnacentral:rRNA from 1 species
UACGUAGGGCGCAAGCGUUGUCCGGAUUCACUGGGUGUAAAGGGUGCGUAGGCGGGAAGGCAAGUCAGAGGUGAAAUCUCACGGCUCAACCGUGAAACUGCCUUUGAUACUGGGUGUCUUGAGUAUGGAAGAGGUGAGUGGAAUUCCGAGUGUAGAGGUGAAAUUCGUAGAUAUUCGGAGGAACACCAGUGGCGAAGGCGGCUCACUGGUCCAUUACUGACGCUGGAGGUGCGAAAGCGUGGGGAGCAAACAGG